rnacentral:rRNA from 1 species
ACUCCUACGGGAGGCAGCAGUGGGGGAUAUUGCACAAUGGGCGCAAGCCUGAUGCAGCAACGCCGCGUGAGUGAUGAUCUUCGGAUUGUAAAGCUCUGUCUUUUGGGACGAUAAUGACGGUACCAAAGGAGGAAGCCACGGCUAACUACGUGCCAGCAGCCGCGGUAAU